rnacentral:tRNA from 1 species
CCCCGUAAUCGAGUCGACCCUCUCGCGGACGAAACGUGCGUCCUCCAGUCGCCAAGCUAGGGCGAUAAGAGGUGGU